GUAAGAAGAGGGGACAGGCAGACCUGGGGGAGCUGUGCCUCAGCUGUGGGCACAGAAGACAGGAAUCAGGACGUCCUCACCAUGGCCUGGUCCCCUCUCCUCCUCACUCUCCUGGCUCACUGCACAGGGUCCUGGGCCCAGUCUAUGCUGACUCAGCCGCCCUCGGUGUCUGGAGCCCUGGGGGAGACGGUCACCAUCUCCUGCUUGGGAAGCAGCAGCAACAUUGGGGGUGGGAAUUAUGGGCACUGGUACCAGCAGCUCCAGGGAACAGCCCCUAAACUCAUCAUCUAUGAUAACAGCAACAGACCCUCGGGGAUCCCUGGCAGAUUCUCUGGCUCCAAGUCUGGUAGUUCAGCCUCCCUGACCAUCACGGGGCUCCAGAGUGACGAUGAGGCAAUUUAUUUCUGUCAGUCCUAUGACAACAGCCUGCGUGCUUGGAUUUUCGGCGCAGGGACCAAGUUGACCGUCCUAGGUCAGCCCAAGGCCACUCCCAUCGUCACUCUCUUCCCUCCCUCCUCUGAGGAGCUCAGCACCAACAAGGCCACACUGGUGUGUCUGAUGAGUGACUUCUACCCGGACUCCGUCUCCGUGGCCUGGAAGGCAGAUGGCAGCCCGGUCACCCAGGGCGUGGAGACCACCAAGCCCUUGAAACAGAGCAACGGCAAACACGCGGCCAGCAGCUACCUAAGCCUGACAGGUGACCAGUGGAAAAGUCGCAGCAAGUAUAGCUGCCAGGUCACCCACGAUGGCAAGACCGAGGAGAAGACAGUGUCCCCUGCACAAUGUGCUUAGGGUACCAGCCCCCCUCCCCAGCUCCGGGGGCCUGGAACUGCAGGAUCCCAGGGGAGGGAUCUUCCUUCCCACCCCGGUCAUCCCGGCACUUCCCCGUGCACCCUAUAAACCCUCAAUAAAUACCCACAUUGCCAGUCAAA